CAAAGAAGAGUUUAGAUUAGAAUCCUAGC
rnacentral:tRNA from 1 species